rnacentral:rRNA from 1 species
GGUAAUACGUAGGGCGCAAGCGUUAUCCGGAUUUAUUGGGUUUAAAGGGUCCGCAGGCGGGAAAAUAAGUCAGUGGUGAAAUCCUAUCGCUUAACGAUAGAACUGCCAUUGAUACUGUUUUUCUUGAGUGUAAUUGAAGUGGGCGGAAUGUGUCAUGUAGCGGUGAAAUGCAUAGAUAUGACACAGAACACCGAUUGCGAAGGCAGCUCACUAAAUUAUUACUGACGCUCAGGGACGAAAGCGUGGGGAGCAAACAG